GGAGUUAGCCGGUGCUUCUUCUGCGAGUAACGUCACAGAUGUAAGGUAUUAACUUACACCCUUUCCUCCUCGCUGAAAGUGCUUUACAACCCGAAGGCCUUCUUCACACACGCGGCAUGGCUGCAUCAGGGUUUCCCCCAUUGUGCAAUAUUCCCCACUGCUGCCUCCCGUAGGAGUCUGGGCCGUGUCUCAGUCCCAGUGUGGCUGAUCAUCCUCUCAGACCAGCUAGGGAUCGUCGCCUAGGUGAGCCUUUACCUCACCUACUAGCUAAUCCCACCUGGGCUUAUCCAUCAGCGCAAGGCCCGAAGGUCCCCUGCUUUCCCCCGUAGGGCGUAUGCGGUAUUAGCAGUCGUUUCCAACUGUUAUCCCCCACAAAUGGGCAAAUUCCCAGGCAUUACUCACCCGUCCGCCGCUCGUCAUCUUCAAAAGCAAGCUUUUGAAAUGUUACCGCUCGACUUGCAUGUGUUAGGCCUGCCGCCAGCGUUCAAUCUGAGCCAGNANACAACUCGAUCGAGCGGCGNGCGAGACGC
rnacentral:rRNA from 1 species